AUUAAAACAUUUAAUUUAGAACUAGUGUGCCAAAUGCGCACACAGUCAAAAUCCAGUAAUUGCCAGGUGGUCAAGUCUGGUGACAAUUUCAAAUUAAAACAAUUUAAAUGUAGUUACUCUUGCUGAGUAAGUCUUGUGGGAAAAGUCCAUGUUUUUGUCUGAGAAAAGGAGGAUGACUGUCUUACGGUCUGUGAUAGACUAUAUACAGUAUAUAUAUAUGCAAAAGUAUGUGAACACCCCUGUCAAAUUAGUGGAUUUGGCUUUUUCAGGCACACCUGUUGCUGACAGGUGUAUAAAAUCGAGCAAGCAGCCAUGCAAUCUCCAUAAACAAACAUUGGCAGUAGAAUGGCCUUACUGAAGAACUCAGUGACUUUCAACAUGGCACCUUCAUGGGAUGCCACCUUUCCAACAAGUCAGUUCAUCACAUUUCUAUCCUGCUAGAGCUGCCCUGGACAACUGUAAGUGUUGUUAUUGUGAAGUGGAAACGUCUAGGAGCAACAACAGCUCAGCAGUGAAGUGGUAGGCCACACAAACUUACAGAAUGGGAUUGUUUAGUGCUGAUGCACGUACUGCGUAAAAAUUGUCUGUCCUCGGUUGCAACCGAGGAAUCUGGGUUUGGCGGAUGCCAGGAGAAAGCUACCUGCCCCAAUGCAUAGUUCCAACUGUAAUGUUUGGUGGACGAGGAAUAAUGGUCUGGGGUUGUUUUUCAUUCCAGUGAAGGGAAAUCUUAACGCUACAGCAUACAAUGACAUUCUAGAAGAUGAUGCGCUUCCAACCUUGUGGCAACAGUUUGGGGAAGGCCCUUUCCUGUUUCAGCAUGACAAUGUCCCCAUGCACAAAGCGAUGUCCAUACAGAAAUGGUUUGUUGAGAUCGGUGUGGAAAAACUUGACUGGCCUGCACAGAGCCCUGUCCUCAACCCCAUCGAACACCUUUGGGAUGAAUUGAAACGCUGACUGCGAGCCAGGCCUAAUCGCCCAACAUCAACCUCACUAAUGCUCUUGUAGCUGAAUGGAAGCAAGUCCUCACAGCAAUGUUCCAACAUCAAGUGGAAAGCCAUUAGGCUGUUCUAGCAGCAAAGGGGGACAAACUCCAUAUUAAUGCCCAUGAUUUUGUAAUGAGAUGUUGGACGAGCAGGUGUCCACAUACUUUUGGUCAUGCAGUGUAACUCAUGUAUUAUAGUAACACUUGUAGUUGACUGUGACAUCAGCUUCUCACAGGAUGUCAUCUCCUCUCCUUAUGUUGACAUUGUCCCUCUCUGUUAGGAGAUUCAGCUGAGAUUCAGUCAAGUCUCCGACUCUGGUCGCGUCUAGACCCCUGGGGAGGGUCCAUGGAGGAGAACCUGAUGGAGAGGGUGCAUACUCUAGCAGUGGUUCUGCCUGGAGAAAACGGCCACGGUAAAUGGGAGGUAAGAGGCAUACAGACAGAAUGUUUCGUUGGAGCAAUACCAAAUCAUACUGUGUAUCUGGAAUGGAUUGACUGAGUACGAAAAAGGUAUGAAAAUGUAUGCACUCACUAAGAUGCUCUCGAUAAGAGCAUCUGCUAAAUGACUAAAAUGUAAAUUGGUUCCUUUUAUAUUUGAACGUCAUUGAAAUGAAUUUUAAACCAUGAAUAUAACUCUAUACUGUGGACACAUGUGGUACACCUGCACUGUGUUUCUAUCUCUACAGUAAACCUGUGAUGGACAUACUGGUCACACUCUGUGCCCAGUACCACCUGAAUCCAUCUGACUUCACCAUAGAACUCCAGUCAGCCAAUAGAAACAAAAUCUCCUUCAAAACCAGCUCUCUGAUUGGAGCCAUGGAGGCUCAGAGGAUCCUACUGAAACCUAAAGGGGGAGAGGAGAAGAUAAGGAGGCUGUACGUGCCAGAGGUCACUGUACGUCUGCUAAUCACCUACAAGAAGAACCAUAAGGCCGUUGUGAGGGUCAACCCUAGAGUCCCUCUGGAGCAGCUCCUGCCUGCGGUGUGUGUGAGUUUGACCUGGAGUCCACCAUUUUACUGAGAGCCAACGGCUCUGAAGAACCUUUAAACCUGAGCAGGUCCCUCGAUGACUAUGGACUAAGGGAACUGUACGCCAAGGAAACAGCAGGGUCUCUCAGUGAGUGCCCCGGCCUCACGUGGUCUGAAAAACCAGCGGGUGGCCAGCAUCAGCAUGAACUCCCUGGGUGUCCACUCCUCCAACACCCUGCCCAUGGACGACACCAUGGCCAAGAAGAAAACGGGCACCCACGCUCCACAUGGCAGGCUCCCAAAGCGUCCCUGCCAACCUCAACGUCCAGCCGGGUCUCCAGAAGGUUCCACUGACUGGGUCUUCAGUGCUCCAACCGUGUCUAGUCCUAGUGAGCUUUACCAGACCGCACCAAAAUCACCAGUGGUAGUCAAGCAGGAGAGUUCAGAGAUGGAGGCCCAGGAGGAGUCCGAAUCACCCACAGACAGUCUAGAUUCAGAACUACAGAAAAGUCUAGAGGUACAAGUCCCGGAGGAGUCGGAUACACUCUCAGAGAUUCCCAACCCAUACACGGCUGACCUGGAGAUGAAAUGGAAUACCUGGAGAUGGAAUACGUGGAGAUGAGGUGACCUCAACUCCUGAACUACUAGAGAGCAGGGGAUUGUUCCGGAAGCCCAGUCUGGUGAUAGAGGAGUCAGCAGAGGACCGUUUCUUUUCCCCUCCUCCCCCUUCCCCUCCCCGUGUGUGCUAUGGUAAGGAGGAGACGGAGCCGACCCAGUUACGAGUGAGGCCUCCUGGGGGAAGAAAUCACCGCCCUCCCUCUUAUCCUCCCCCUUCUCUUCCUACGCUGAGUCGUACCUUCUGUGAACCAGCUGCGGGAGACAAUCAGACUAAUGCCCCUUCAUCACCCAAACCGAACAUGAUUAAUUUGACUUCACCCAAACCAUACGUGCCUGCAGCCCUGGCCAGGAGAACUGCCAUCCCCUCCUGCUUUGCCCAGGCUGUGGCUCUAGCCGUCCGUAAGUCCCAGUCCUCCUGUCCCCGAAGGCCAGCACCAGACUUGUUUUCCUCCCUCUCAGGCUCCUCACCCUCCACUGCCUUACCGCUAACCAAUGUGGUGAGUGGUGAUUUUUGACCUGCACUAACACGGUGAUGACAUGCAAAUUUUGCCAUUGUAGCAACUGGAUUGGACCCAAAAUUGAACCAUUGGUUACCCCUAUCAUACUACGAUGUGCUUGCUUCCAUACAUAAAGUUGCCAUUCUUAACUUUCAUGAUCUCUCUGUGAACCUCACAUGUUCCACAGGUGAACUCUUUACACCAGCGGAGGCUGGUGGGAGGAGCCAUAGGAGGACGGGCUCAUUGGAAUGGCUGGAUUGGAAUAAAUGGAACGGAGUCAAACAGGGUUUCCAUGUGUUGGAUACCAUUCCAUUGCAGACAUUCAGCCUGUCCUCAUACAGCUCAUCCCACCAGCCUCCACUGCUUUACACAGGAAAGAAGGGAAGGGCAUAUCUUGAUGUAAGUGUGUAUAUUCUACAGUGGGAUUUUUUUCUAUCUGGAAAGAUGUUGUUUGUUACAUUAAAUGGCGACAAAUGCCUUUCUAAACAAUCCUGGCAGACUGGUAUUCUUCUGAGACACCUUGGUGUUUGUCUGUUAUCUUCAUGUGUAUGUGCAAAAUGUGGUAUAUGGCCCUGUAGAAUACCUCUAUUGACAUGCUCACACUCUGUGUGACCUGGUGGAGGAAGGACCUAAUCUAAACUGGUGAUAUUUGUGUCUCUUGUCCUACAGGGGCCAUAAUGGCUUCAUAGUAAAUCUGUGAAAUGGAAGUUCCUGUUUAGGGUGAGGCAACUGCAGUGAGGUAGAGCCGGCAACCACAUAGUCACAUGACCUCCAAAUGGACCCCACUUAUGGACCGACAAAUUCCAAAGAAGCCCAGGCCCCUGUUUUUCACUGGGAGUCAGCACAUUAUAAAAACAACAUUUAUCCAAGACUUCAUCCAAGAGUUUGAUUAGUGUACAGGUCAUUUUAUUUUCACUGAAUGUUUGUUUUUGUAUCUGUUAUUAAGAUAUUUGACUUGUAUGCGAAGAUGUAUUUAUUUGACCUUGGUAGUACAGUAUUUAUGGGAUCUACAUGUUUGUACUUGGAGUUUCCUGUUGACUCAUUAGUGUUGAAAUGUGCCAAAACCGAGAUUAAAUAAUACGUAAUCUCUCCUCAGUAUCUCUUUUUGUUUGUCAAGGACAGAGAACUCUGAAAUAAGAUGACUUAAAAUGUUACGUUUCAUUCUGUACAAAUCAAGAAUUAUUCUAUAUAUUUUCUUCCAGACAUGUAUCAUUUCUAUAAGUAAAUGAUACGCCAUUAUCAACAAGUGUGUUGCUUUCUUUUGCCACCGGAGGGCAGGAGCACACUUCACAAAUUUCUCAUGUACAGAACCACUGUGUGAGCUGUUUUGUGAUCCACACUUGAUCAAUUAUUAGCAUUGACAUAUCCAGAUAUUAAAGAAGAGCAUCAAUUAUCAUUCAUCUUCUUUGUCUUUACUGGUUAUACUAUAUAUUUUUAAUGGAUUAGUGUGUUUUAUUUCAAGCCUUGUUAUCUUGUCCGUUAUCGCGUUAUGGUUGCUAUUUCACAAUGAUAUUCUACAGGAUAUUCUACACGGUGCCAUGGUUAGAGCAUUGCAGGAAGAUAUGUAAUAUUAAAUCUACAUGAUGUGAAAUAAAUAACGUUCUUGCUAUGCAUUGUUGUUCAGAGUGCAACACAUUACUGAAUAAACUGAGAUGAUG
rnacentral:lncRNA from 1 species